rnacentral:rRNA from 1 species
AGGCCAAUCAAACCCGGAGAUAUCUCGUUCUCCCCGAAAUAGCUUUAGGGCUAGCGUCGCGCGUUCACCGCCGGAGGUAGAGCACCGGAUGGACGAGGGGGCUUCGCCGCCUACCGAAUCCAACCGAACUCCGAAUGCCGGCGGCCCAGAGCGCGGCAGUCAGAGCAUGUGGGCUAAGCUGUGUGCUCGAGAGGGAAACAGCCCGGACCGCCCGCUAAGGUCCCCAAGUUCCAGCCGAGUGGCAAAGGAUGUGCGUCCGCCCAGACAACCAGGAUGUUGGCUUAGAAGCAGCCAUGCAUUCAAAGAGUGCGUAACAGCUCACUGGUCGAGUGGACAUGCGCCGACAAUACACGGGGCUAAGCUGGACACCGAAGCGGCGGGAUUUUAUCUAUAUAGAAUCGGUAGGGGAGCUUCCCAUGGGCGGUGAAGCCGCCGGGCGACCGGCGGUGGAGCGCAUGGGAGUGAGAAUGCUGGCAUGAGUAGCGAGAGACGAGAGAGUAACUCGUCCGCCGUGAACCCGAGGUUUCCUGGGCAAGGCUAAUCCUCCCAGGGUCAGUCGGGGGCUAAGGCGAGGCCGGGAGGCGUAGCCGACGCGCAGCAGGCAGACAUUCCUGCACCGCGCACGCGGCGCUACGACCGACGGGGCGACGGAUGGGGGUGGCUCGGCGGGGUUCUGGACGUCCCCGUGAUGGAGCGCGGCCCGCGGACCAGGGAAAUCCGGUCCGCACGAGGGCGAGGCUCCGGACGAAGCGAUCAAGCGAAGCGAGUGAGCCCGAGGUCCCUAGAAAAACCCCUAGGCAGGCGCGUGCGCGCCCGUACCGCAAACCGACACAGGUGGGUGGGUAGAACAUACCGAGGCGAUCGGGUCAACCAUGGUCAAGGAACUCGGCACAAUGGCCCCGUAACUUCGGGAGAAGGGGUGCCCGCGCGUACGUGAACCGGCUUGCCCGGGGAGCGGAGGCGGGCCGCAGUGGAGAGGCCCAAGCGACUGUUUACCAAAAACACAGGACUCUGCAGAAGCCGCAAGGCGACGUAUAGGGUCUGACGCCUGCCCGGUGCCGGAAGGUCACGCGGAGGAGUUAGCCAUUCGGCGAAGCCCCGAAGCCAAGCCCCGGUAAACGGCGGCCGUAACUAUAACGGUCCUAAGGUAGCGAAAUUCCUUGUCGGGUAAGUUCCGACCUGCACGAAAGGCGCAACGACUUGGGCGCUGUCUCGACCAUGGACCCGGUGAAAUUGCACUGGUCGUGAAGAUGCGACUUACCCGCGGAAGGACGGAAAGACCCCGUGAACCUUCACUGCAGCUUGGCAUUGGCCGCUGGUCCCGCGUGUAGAGGAUAGGCAGGAGGCAUCGAUCCGGAGGCGCCAGCCCCCGGGGAGCCGCCCUUGGAAUACUGCCCUCGCGCGACCGGCGUCCUAACCCGAGGCCGUCAACCGGCUCGGGGACCGUGCCAGGCGGGCAGUUUGACUGGGGCGGUCGCCUCCUAAAGGGUAACGGAGGCGCGCGAAGGUCCGCUCGGGACGGUCGGCAACCGUCCUUUUGAAUGCAAGAGUACAAGCGGGCUUGACUGCGAGGCCCACAAGCCGAGCAGGUGCGAAAGCAGGCUCUAGUGAUCCGGCGGCCCCGAGUGGGUGGGCCGUCGCUCAACGGAUAAAAGGUACUCCGGGGAUAACAGGCUGAUCUUGCCCAAGAGUCCACAUCGACGGCAAGGUUUGGCACCUCGAUGUCGGCUCAUCGCAUCCUGGGGCUGGAGCAGGUCCCAAGGGUACGGCUGUUCGCCGUUUAAAGCGGUACGCGAGCUGGGUUCAGAACGUCGUGAGACAGUUCGGUCCCUAUCCUCCGUGGGCGCAGGAGAAUCGAUGGAGGCUGCCCCCAGUACGAGAGGACCGGGGUGGACGCACCUCCGGUGAACCGGUUGUCGACCAACGGCACGGCCGGGUAGCCGCGUGCGGCGCGGAUAACCGCUGAAGGCAUCUAAGCGGGAAGCCGUUCCAGGGAUUAGUUCUCCUUCCGGUAAGGGCCCAGGUAGACUACCUGGUCGAUAGACGGCAGGUGCAAGGCUGGCGACAGCCUCAGCCGAGCCGCACUAAUCGCCCGAGCUCUUCCGGAA